AUUUGCUGAGGCUGGUCCUGAACUUAUGAUCCUCCUGCCUCAGCCCCCCAGUGGCUGGGAUUACAGCAUGGGAGAUAGAACCCAGGGCCUCCAGCAUACUACACAAGUACUCUGCCUCUGAGCGACAUCCCCCAUUCUAGAAAGUUCUUUCCAGAGCAACCAGACGUCGUCGCUUGGGAAUCCUCUUUGCCCAACUUUGGCCUUGAGCCUCAUCCCCCGCCCACAACACUCCAGCCCCUCACAGGGAGGCAGCUUUGCCCACCUGCUUCCUCAGUUCCUGGCUCAGAGAUCAGAAUGUGGGGAAUACUGAAAAAAUGUGGCUCAGGGGUAAAGGGCCCCUGAGCCCAACCUCCAGAACCAAAAAGGAAAGAAGAAAGAAAUGCAAAGCAAACAUUCCCAGUAACCAGCCCCUACCUGAGUCCCAGCCCUUCACCCGCGCCCUUGACCCCUGCCCUGGCCUGGGAACAGGAACACCAGGGCAAGGUGCAAGCGCUGGAAAACUAACACACCGUGUGCUGCGCCCUGGCUCCACCUCUAGGGCAGCCCCAGCAACUGUCCCUGAUGAAUAUUAAUGUUUCCCGCCAACUGGCUGCUGCCGCUGCCCUGGGAUGGCCACUUUCUCCCCGCCUCCGCUCUCCUAAAUAAACUUUUGUCUUCAUCUC